rnacentral:rRNA from 1 species
AGCCCAGAGCCUGAAUCAGUGUGUGUGUUAGUGGAAGCGUCUGGAAAGGCGCGCGAUACAGGGUGACAGCCCCGUACACAAAAAUGCACAUGCUGUGAGCUCGAUGAGUAGGGCGGGACACGUGGUAUCCUGUCUGAAUAUGGGGGGACCAUCCUCCAAGGCUAAAUACUCCUGACUGACCGAUAGUGAACCAGUACCGUGAGGGAAAGGCGAAAAGAACCCCGGCGAGGGGAGUGAAAAAGAACCUGAAACCGUGUACGUACAAGCAGUGGGAGCACGCUUAGGCGUGUGACUGCGUACCUUUUGUAUAAUGGGUCAGCGACUUAUAUUCUGUAGCAAGGUUAACCGAAUAGGGGAGCCGAAGGGAAACCGAGUCUUAACUGGGCGUUAAGUUGCAGGGUAUAGACCCGAAACCCGGUGAUCUAGCCAUGGGCAGGUUGAAGGUUGGGUAACACUAACUGGAGGACCGAACCGACUAAUGUUGAAAAAUUAGCGGAUGACUUGUGGCUGGGGGUGAAAGGCCAAUCAAACCGGGAGAUAGCUGGUUCUCCCCGAAAGCUAUUUAGGUAGCGCCUCGUGAAUUCAUCUCCGGGGGUAGAGCACUGUUUCGGCAAGGGGGUCAUCCCGACUUACCAACCCGAUGCAAACUGCGAAUACCGGAGAAUGUUAUCACGGGAGACACACGGCGGGUGCUAACGUCCGUCGUGAAGAGGGAAACAACCCAGACCGCCAGCUAAGGUCCCAAAGUCAUGGUUAAGUGGGAAACGAUGUGGGAAGGCCCAGACAGCCAGGAUGUUGGCUUAGAAGCAGCCAUCAUUUAAAGAAAGCGUAAUAGCUCACUGGUCGAGUCGGCCUGCGCGGAAGAUGUAACGGGGCUAAACCAUGCACCGAAGCUGCGGCAGCGACGCUUAUGCGUUGUUGGGUAGGGGAGCGUUCUGUAAGCCUGUGAAGGUGUGCUGUGAGGCAUGCUGGAGGUAUCAGAAGUGCGAAUGCUGACAUAAGUAACGAUAAAGCGGGUGAAAAGCCCGCUCGCCGGAAGACCAAGGGUUCCUGUCCAACGUUAAUCGGGGCAGGGUGAGUCGACCCCUAAGGCGAGGCCGAAAGGCGUAGUCGAUGGGAAACAGGUUAAUAUUCCUGUACUUGGUGUUACUGCGAAGGGGGGACGGAGAAGGCUAUGUUGGCCGGGCGACGGUUGUCCCGGUUUAAGCGUGUAGGCUGGUUUUCCAGGCAAAUCCGGAAAAUCAAGGCUGAGGCGUGAUGACGAGGCACUACGGUGCUGAAGCAACAAAUGCCCUGCUUCCAGGAAAAGCCUCUAAGCAUCAGGUAACAUCAAAUCGUACCCCAAACCGACACAGGUGGUCAGGUAGAGAAUACCAAGGCGCUUGAGAGAACUCGGGUGAAGGAACUAGGCAAAAUGGUGCCGUAACUUCGGGAGAAGGCACGCUGAUAUGUAGGUGAAGUCCCUCGCGGAUGGAGCUGAAAUCAGUCGAAGAUACCAGCUGGCUGCAACUGUUUAUUAAAAACACAGCACUGUGCAAACACGAAAGUGGACGUAUACGGUGUGACGCCUGCCCGGUGCCGGAAGGUUAAUUGAUGGGGUCAGCGCAAGCGAAGCUCUUGAUCGAAGCCCCGGUAAACGGCGGCCGUAACUAUAACGGUCCUAAGGUAGCGAAAUUCCUUGUCGGGUAAGUUCCGACCUGCACGAAUGGCGUAAUGAUGGCCAGGCUGUCUCCACCCGAGACUCAGUGAAAUUGAACUCGCUGUGAAGAUGCAGUGUACCCGCGGCAAGACGGAAAGACCCCGUGAACCUUUACUAUAGCUUGACACUGAACAUUGAGCCUUGAUGUGUAGGAUAGGUGGGAGGCUUAGAAGUGUGGACGCCAGUCUGCAUGGAGCCGACCUUGAAAUACCACCCUUUAAUGUUUGAUGUUCUAACGUUGACCCGUAAUCCGGGUUGCGGACAGUGUCUGGUGGGUAGUUUGACUGGGGCGGUCUCCUCCUAAAGAGUAACGGAGGAGCACGAAGGUUGGCUAAUCCUGGUCGGACAUCAGGAGGUUAGUGCAAUGGCAUAAGCCAGCUUGACUGCGAGCGUGACGGCGCGAGCAGGUGCGAAAGCAGGUCAUAGUGAUCCGGUGGUUCUGAAUGGAAGGGCCAUCGCUCAACGGAUAAAAGGUACUCCGGGGAUAACAGGCUGAUACCGCCCAAGAGUUCAUAUCGACGGCGGUGUUUGGCACCUCGAUGUCGGCUCAUCACAUCCUGGGGCUGAAGUAGGUCCCAAGGGUAUGGCUGUUCGCCAUUUAAAGUGGUACGCGAGCUGGGUUUAGAACGUCGUGAGACAGUUCGGUCCCUAUCUGCCGUGGGCGCUGGAGAACUGAGGGGGGCUGCUCCUAGUACGAGAGGACCGGAGUGGACGCAUCACUGGUGUUCGGGUUGUCAUGCCAAUGGCACUGCCCGGUAGCUAAAUGCGGAAGAGAUAAGUGCUGAAAGCAUCUAAGCACGAAACUUGCCCCGAGAUGAGUUCUCCCUGACUCCUUGAGAGUCCUGAAGGAACGUUGAAGACGACGACGUUGAUAGGCCGGGUGUGUAAGCGCAGCGAUGCGUUGAGCUAACCGGUACUAAUGAACCGUGAGGCUUAACC